CGCCCCACAUGACUUUGUGACUUUGUUAAAAGAUCUCAGCUUGCAUGAGCAUGCACCCAAGAAGGUAUCCAGGUGAUUCUCCCUACCCCAGGUUCACACACGCCUUCUUGAUCUCUGAUGAUGAUGUGUUACAGGUGUGUCAGUGAAUCAGUGAAGUGGGCUUAAAAAUGAGCGCAAAAGGAGACCAGACUUAAAACAUGUUUCACUAUAAGUAUUACGUAACACAAAUGCCAACAAUAAGCUGUGUGAAUCUCCUGUCUGGGUUUAGACAUAAACCAGCCCCAGCUAUGAAAUAAAGCCUAUACCAUUCUUUGUAUUUUUCUUAUGGUCAUUCAUUGAGCUAUUGAUCUUGCUUAAGGGGGGGCUUAACAUGCCCUGUAUACCUUUAAACUGGUGCUCCUUGGGCCAUUUAGGGAAUUUUCGCUGAAUUGCUCUUAUACCGUCAAUCAGAAUCUCGGUGCCUUGUGUCACAUGCUCUUCACUGUUCCAGGUUCCCCUCAGUUUGUGGUAACGUUUGUCAACCUAGAGAAAAUGGUGUUACAUGUAAUUAUGUAGAUCACUUCAUCGAGAAUUGACAAAUAGAUCAGGCAUUGUUGAACAACCAAAUCUCGCUUUAAAGUAACCCUUGUGUGUUAGAGCAACAUUUAGUCAUUGGAAGUAAAACAGGAACAAUGUUGCAACAGCCUCAAUUUCAGCUGGAACUGCCAGAAUUUCGCAAUCGUAAAAACAACGAAAACACUCAUAAACUAGAAGGGCACUCGGUAGAGUGCAUACUUCUGCCAAGCCAAAUAUUAGAAUAGCCACAAACAAUCCUGGAUCCAUAUUCGGAUUUGCAUCAAAAUCUAAUCAAUAGUUCCUUCGCCAAUCGUUCACCUUUUCCUCAAAAUUUCAUCAAAAUCCGUUCACUACUUUUUGAGUUACACUGGGAAAAGACAAUCAAACAAAGGCAACAACGUAACCUCUUCCAACAAAGUUGGCAGAGGUAAGUAUUAUAACACUAUGACCUUCCCUCUUUAUUUGAUUCCUGAAGUACUGCUUUAAACAAACCUGCAUAAGUCCAAAGGCAUUGCCGUGGUCUCCCCAGCCAUCAACAAGCGCUGCUCCAGCCCUCGAUUCUCUGGAGAUUAUAGCUGCGAUCACAGCUGGGUCCAUUUGCUUUGCUCUAGCAACAUUCAUGAUGAUGCUCUUGUACUGGUUCAUCCUCUUCAAAUCAUGAGCAGCCAGUUUAUAUGAAGCUUCCACCCCUUUAGGAAGGAAUACCUUUAUUGCAGGAUUCAAGAUUGUAGCCACAGCCACAAGAGAUACAGUAAAUUUAAGCAGGCAUACCCUUUACAGUGAGUUUAUCUUGCCGAGCCGUUUGCUCGGACGCUCCAGUCGUGUCGAUCUUCAUGACAUCUCCAAAAAUGCACAAGAGGACUGACGCAUUAAAGAUCAGCGAUCCUACAGAAACAAAGACACAUUUAUUUAAGAGAGUAAACCUAUUUUGCAAACUCUCUGGAUGGUAUUGCUUUCUCCCCCCCCAUUUUGUUUUAAGAUCAGAUAAGGCAUUUGUUUCUUCCAAUAAUAUUGUGGCAGAUCACAGAUCUAAACAAGAGACUCACCUACGAUAAGGAGUUUCAUCUUGCUUCAGUGAGAAAACAAUUUUUGUGCAGGCCCCUUUGGCAAAUAAAUCUAAGUGGGUUUCACAUGUGCUCACUUCCUCUAAAUAAGAGAGGAAGGAAGGACAGUUUAUUGCAUCAUAUGGAAAUUCUCUGCUUGAAACAUAAAAACUGCAACUAACUUAAGAGCUGCCCAUAGCACAUGGAUUCAUAUUUUGUGCCUUGGCUAAUAUAAAGGUUAUUUUAAAUGCUGUGUAGACAUAGUGUCCUCGAUUCCAUUUAGAUGAAGCUUGUACUCUAACAGAAGAAAUACGAAAAGACCAUAAGAGUAAACCGCGCCCUACUUAAGGAGGGAAAGGGAGAGCGGAAGGGAGCUUCCUCCCCAGCAGAGACGACAGUGUGUUGGUGCCGAAACCCGGGAAGGUGGAGCAUCAGUCCUGCAGCCCCAUGGAAUCCUCCCCGUUCGCGGACUUGGUCCACGCCCUCGCCACGGCUCAGCAGAGCCAGCACCAGGCACUCGUCACGCUCCGGAAGGAGCAGGAGCGCCGCUUCGAAGCCCUGGUGCUGGCUCAGCAGGAAGAUCGAGAGGCGUUCCGGCGUCUCCUCGUGUCGGCGGGGUCCACCAACGCCCCGGCCGCGGGCCCGUCUCCCCUCACCUUAACUAAGAUGGGCCCGCAGGACGACCCCGAGGCUUUCAUCACGUUGUUCGAGCAGGUCGCCGAAGCCUCGAGGUGGCCGAUGGAGCAGCGCGCGGCGCGCCUCCUCCCCCUCCUGACGGGAGAGGCGCAGCUGGCCGCACUACAGCUCCCCGCCGAUCGCCGGCUGGCCUACGCCGACCUUCGCCAGGCUGUCCUCCAGCGCGUGGGGCGCACGCCGGAGCAGCAGCACCAGCGCUUCCGCGUGCUGCGGAUGGAGGAAGUCGGCAGCCAGUUCGCGUUCGGCCAGCAGCUCCGGGACGCCUGCUGGCGGUGGCUGAGGGCCGAAGAUCGCGACGCCGAGGGAAUCAUCGACCAGGUGGCGCUGGAACAAUUCAUCGCCCGCUUACCAGCCGGAACCGCGGAGUGGGUCCAGUGCCACCGCCCGGCGUCGCUGGAUCAGGCCGUAGGACUGGCAGAGGAUCAUCUGGCGGCUGUUCCGGCGGCAGGACAACCAACGACAUUGUCUUCUCUCUCCUCUCUCUCUUUCUCCCCCCCCUCCUCCCGUGUCCCGUCCUCGCCCCAUUCCCCCACCACGGAGGCGGGGGCCGGCUCCACCCCAGCCGGCCCGCCGCACCCGUGGUGCCCUCCCGUUUCUCCCUUCUGUGUCUGUCUCUCCCCCCCUCAGGUGAGUGAGCCUCAGAACACAGCUGCAGAGGGAAGGCCCGGGCCGGUUUGCUGGCGCUGCGGGGAACCGGGCCACCUGCAGCAACAGUGUGCAGCAAUGGAGGUGGGGGCGGUGGUGCGGAUCCCCGACGCGCCAGAGGCUGCCCUCGAUCGGGCCGGAGCGUAUCGCAUACCGUAAACCGCGCCCUACUUAAGGAGGGAAAGGGAGAGUGGAAGGGAGCUUCCUCCCCAGCAGAGACGACAGUGUGUGUGCGGAAGUAAGAAGCACCAUCAGCACCAUGG